rnacentral:rRNA from 1 species
AUUGAACGCUGGCGGCAGGCUUAACACAUGCAAGUCGAGCGAGCGGCGGACGGGUGAGUAAUGUCUGGGAAACUGCCUGAUGGAGGGGGAUAACUACUGGAAACGGUAUCUAAUACCGCAUACUAUCAGAUGCACCCAUAUGGGAUUAGCUAGUAGGUGGGGUAAUGGCUCACCUAGGCGACGAUCCCUAGCUGGUCUGAGAGGAUGACCAGCAACACGGGAACUGAGACACGGUCCAGACUCCUACGGGAGGCAGCAGUGGGGAAUAUUGCACAAUGGGCGCAAGCCUGAUGCAGCCAUGCCGCGUGGGUGAAGAAGGCCUUCGGGUUGUAAAGCACUUUCAGCGAGGAGGCGUUACUCGAAGAAGAAGCACCGGCUAACUACGUGCCAGCAGCCGCGGUAAUAC